UAGGGGCCAUACCGGUUACCGAACCUAGUCAAACUACGAAUGGCUAUACUUAUACUCGGGAGUCAGACAGUGAAUGAUAAGGUCCAUUGUCAAGAGGGAAACAGCCCAGAACACCGACUAAGGUCCCCAAUGUCAUACUAAGUGGCGAAGGAUGUGGAAUUUCCAAAACAACCAGGAUGUUGGCUUAGAAGCAGCCACCAUUUAAAGAGUGCGUAAUAGCUCACUGGUCGAGAGACUCUGCGCCGAAAAUGUCCGGGGCUAAAGUAUGAAACCGAAGUCGUGUCAUAUGCAGUAAUGUAUAUGGGUAGGGGAGCGUUCUCAUCGGAUUGAAGCAGUACCGUAAGGAGUUGUGGACUGGUGAGAAGUGAGAAUGUCGGUAUGAGUAGCGAAAAGAAUGGUGAGAAUCCAUUCCACCGAAAGCCUAAGGGUUCCUGAGCAACGAUCGUCGUCUCAGGGUAAGUCGGGACCUAAGCCGAGGCGGAAAAGCGUAGGCGAUGGACAACAGGUUGAAAUUCCUGUACCGGUGUGAAUCGUUUGAUCGAUGGAGUGACACAGUAAGGUAGGUCAGCACGCGAUUGGAAGUGCGUGUUUAAGCAGGUAGGUUGAGCUAUAGGCAAAUCCGUAGCUCUAAAAGCUGAGAUGUGAUGACGAGUUACUAGCGAUAGUAACGAAGUGAUUGAUCCUACACUGUCGAGAAAAGCUUCUAGGUAGAGACACAUCGCCCGUACCAAAACCGACACAGGUAGGCGGGGAGAGAAUCCUAAGGUGCGCGGGAAAACCCUCGUUAAGGAACUCGGCAAAAUGCCUCCGUAACUUCGGGAAAAGGAGGACUCAUGUAGUGUGAAGGGCAGC
rnacentral:rRNA from 1 species